rnacentral:rRNA from 1 species
CCUACGGGUGGCAGCAGUGAGGAAUAUUGGUCAAUGGGCGAGAGCCUGAACCAGCCAAGUCGCGUGAGGGAGUACUGCCCUAUGGGUUGUAAACCUCUUUUGUCGGGGAGCAAAAGCCGGACGUGUCCGGCUGUUAGAGUACCCGAACAAAAAGCAUCGGCAAACUCCGUGCCAGCAGCCACGGUAAUACGGAGGAUGCGAGCGUUAUCCGGAUUUAUUGGGUUUAAAGGUGGCGCAGGCGGAUUUUUAAGUCUGCGGGCAAACCCUGGGGCUCAACCCCAUCCAGCCGUUGAAACUGGGGAUCUAGAGUGUGCGAGAGGUAUGCGGAAUGCGUGGUGUAGCGGUGAAAUGCAUAGAUAUCACGCAGAACCCCGAUUGCGAAGGCAGCAUACCGGUGCACAACUGACGCUGAGGCACGAAAGCGUGGGUAUCGAACAGGAUUAGAUACCCGAGUAGUC